AUACAUGCAAGUAGAACGCAGAGGAUUGGUGCUUGCACUAAUCUAAUGAGUUGCGAACGGGUGAGUAACGCGUAGGUAACCUGCCUGGUAGCGGGGGAUAACUAUUGGAAACGAUAGCUAAUACCGCAUAAUAGUUUAUGACUCAUGUUAUAAACUUGAAAGAUACAACUGUAUCACUACCAGAUGGACCUGCGUUGUAUUAGCUAGUAGGUAGGGUAACGGCCUACCUAGGCGACGAUACAUAGCCGACCUGAGAGGGUGAUCGGCCACACUGGGACUGAGACACGGCCCAGACUCCUACGGGAGGCAGCAGUAGGGAAUCUUCGGCAAUGGGGGGAACCCUGACCGAGCAACGCCGCGUGAGUGAAGAAGGUUUUCGGAUCGUAAAGCUCUGUUGUUAAGGAAGAACGGGAGUAGGAGUGGAAAGCCUACUUUGUGACGGUACUUAACCAGAAAGGGACGGCUAACUACGUGCCAGCAGCCGCGGUAAUACGUAGGUCCCGAGCGUUAUCCGGAUUUAUUGGGCGUAAAGCGAGCGCAGGCGGUUAGAUAAGUCUGGAGUAAAAGG
rnacentral:rRNA from 1 species